AUUUUUAUAUUUAGCCAUCCAAAACAAUGCUGUUUAAUACACAUGGAAUUCUUUUUACAUUGCAAGAAGUGAAGAAGAAGCUGCUGAAAGUGUAGGAUGGGGAAAGACGUAUUUAACCUUAGAGUCACCUAAGUACUGCAAAUGACUGUGGAGUCUUCUUGGCUGUAGGAUGUUGAUGAACAGAUGAACCUCCAAGUGGCCUCAAUGAUUCUCUAAAGGAAUGCAAAUGACCAACUGUCUGCAAGGAGUAUAAAUGUUUCCAUUACCCACCAUCCAGUCAGAGCUGAAGAAAGUUCUUGGAUGAGAAGUGAAACGUCUUCAAAAAAGAAAGAAAAAACAAGAAAAUCCAGUUGCCUCCUGAAAAAGCACCUUUGGGUAUCCAGUAAACCUUUCAUUUACCCAGUUAUUAUUAUGAACUGAUUUACAGUGAAUAAAACUGAUUAAACCAGAAGCUGAAAUCGGA